GUAAAGCUUUUGCGGUUUGGGAUGGGCCUGCGUCCUAUCAGGUAGUUGGUGAGGUAAAUGCUCACCAAGCCUAUGACGGGUAGCUGGUCUGAGAGGAUGGUCAGCCAGACUGGGACUGCGACACGGCCCAGACUCCUACGGGAGGCAGCAACUAGGAAUUGUGCGCAAUGGAUGAAAGUCUGACGCCGCGACAUCGCGUGGAGGAUGAAGGUCUUCGGAUUGUAAACUCCUUUUCUUACCGAACAAGUUCUGAGUGUAGGUAAGGAAUAAGUGCCUGCUAACCACGUGCCAGAAGCAUCGGUAAUACGUGGGGCACGAGCGUUAUCCGGAUUUACUGGGCGUAAAGAGAAGCGUAGGCGGCUCAAUAAGUUUGGUGUUAAAUCUUCCGGCUCAACCGGAAACAAGCACCGAAAACUAUCGAGAUUGAGUCGAGUAGGGAAGAGGGGAAUUCCUGGUGGAGCGGUUAAAUGCGUAGAUAUCAGGAGGAAUACCAAGGGCGAAGGCACCUCUUUGGACUCGUACUGACGCUGAGGCUCGAAAGCGUGGGUAGCAAAACGGAUUAGAUACCCGUGUAGUCCACGCCGUAAACGAUCCCUGUUAUAUGU
rnacentral:rRNA from 1 species